ACAGCAGUCGCCGCGGGAAUACGAAGGGUGCAAGCGUUACUCGGAAUUACUGGGCGUAAAGCGUGCAUAGGUGGUGGUUUAAGUCCGUUGUGAAAGCCCUGGGCUCAACCUGGGAAUUGCAGUGGAUACUGGGUCACUAGAGUGUGGUAGAGGAUAGUGGAAUUUCCGGUGUAGCAGUGAAAUGCGUAGAGAUCGGAAGGAACAUCUGUGGCGAAGGCGACUAUCUGGGCCAACACUGACACUGAGGCACGAAAGCGUGGGGAGCAAACAGGAUUAGAUACCCGUGUAGUCCCUGUCUCUUAUAC
rnacentral:rRNA from 1 species